UGAAGAACUUGCGGAUUCGUAAUUGGAC
rnacentral:sRNA from 1 species